rnacentral:rRNA from 1 species
UACAGGGGGGGCAAGCGUUGUUCGGAAUUACUGGGCGUAAAGGGCUCGUAGGCGGCCAACUAAGUCACACGUGAAAUCCCCAGGCUUAACCUGGGAACUGCGUGUGAUACUGGAUGGCUUGAAUUCGGGAGAGGGAUGCAGAAUUCCAGGUGUAGCGGUGAAAUGCGUAGAUAUCUGGAGGAAUACCGGUGGCGAAGGCGGCAUCCUGGACCGACAUUGACGCUGAUGAGCGAAAGCCGGGGGAGCAAACGGG